rnacentral:rRNA from 1 species
GUCCAUGCCGUAAACGAUGUCAACUAGGUGUUGGGGAACUUGAUUCCUUAGUGCCGCAGCUAACGCAUUAAGUUGACCGCCUGGGGAGUACGGUCGCAAGACUAAAACUCAAAUGAAUUGACGGGGGCCCCGCACAAGCGGUGGAGCAUGUGGUUUAAUUCGAUGCAACGCGAAGAACCUUACCUACUCUUGACAUCCAGAGAAUCCUGUAGAGAUACGGGAGUGCCUUCGGGAAUUCUGAGACAGGUGCUGCAUGGCUGUCGU